rfam:Sulfitobacter geojensis strain EhN01 A2_Contig1, whole genome shotgun sequence.
GGCAUGGGGUUUUACCGCGAACGCCCCGUGAGGCUUUGGCCAGAGGUUCGCAUGUCUCCAUCAAAAGGAUGCAUGCCAUG